CACUCGGGCUGCGACCAGUGGCAUUGCCCUAGUAACAGGCGAGUGAAGCGGCACAGCUAAAAUUGAAAUCUGGCUUUUUCAGAGUCCGAGUUGUAAUUUGCAGAGGGCGCUUUGGCUUUGGCAGCGGUCCAAGUUCCUUGGAACAGGACGUCACAGAGGGUGAGAAUCCCGUACGUGGUCGCUAGCUAUUGCCGUGUAAAGCCCCUUCGACGAGUCGAGUUGUUUGGGAAUGCAGCUCUAAAUGGGAGGUAAAUUUCUUCUAAAGCUAAAUAUUGGCCAGAGACCGAUAGCGCACAAGUAGAGUGAUCGAAAGAUGAAAAGCACUUUGGAAAGAGAGUCAAACAGCACGUGAAAUUGUUGAAAGGGAAGCGCUUGCAGCCAGACUUGCUUGCAGUUGCUCAUCCGGGCUUUUGCCCGGUGCACUCUUCUGCAGGCAGGCCAGCAUCAGUUUGGGCGGUGGGAUAAAGGUCUCUGUCAUGUACCUCUCUUCGGGGAGGCCUUAUAGGGGAGGCGACAUACCACCAGCCUAGACUGAGGUCCGCGCAUCUGCUAGGAUGCUGGCGUAAUGGCUGUAAGCGGCCCGUCUUGAAACACGGACCAAGGAGUCUAACAUCUAUGCGAGUGUUUGGGUGUCAAGCCCGAGCGCGUAAUGAAAGUGAACGGAGGUGGGAACCCGCAAGGGUGCACCAUCGACCGAUCCUGAAGUUUACGGAAGGAUUUGAGUAAGAGCAUGGCUGUUGGGACCCGAAAGAUGGUGAACUAUGCUUGAAUAGGGUGAAGCCAGAGGAAACUCUGGUGGAGGCUCGCAGCGGUUCUGACGUGCAAAUCGAUCGUCAAAUUUGGGCAUAGGGGCGAAAGACUAAUCGAACUAUCUAGUAGCUGGUUCCUGCCGAAGUUUCCCUCAGGAUAGCAUAACGUAUUCAUUUUAUGAGGUAAAGCGAAUGAUAAAAGCAUGGGGGUUGAAACAACCUUCACCUAUUCUCAACUUAAAUAUUUAAAGAGCUCUUGGUACCUAAUUGAACGCAGGCAUUCGAUGAUACUUUAUUAUUGUCCAUUUUGGGUACCAUAUAUGGGGAGAUAAGAUAAACCUG
rnacentral:rRNA from 1 species